CUUCGAUACCCAGAAAUUAUAAGCUAUCUAAAACAUCACCCUGCUCCUCCCUGAUAAGAAUUUGAACUCUCUGACGAAGAAAAUGAAGCAAAAGGUAGUGAUCCAGGUGAACUUGAAUAAUGGCAAAAAGAAUGCUCGGACCAAGGCCUUGUAGAUUGCAGUUGGUGUACAAGGUGUUGAAUCAGUAUCUUUACAAGGUGAGGAUAGCAGUCAAAUUGUUGUUGUUGGGAAUGACAUUGAUUCAGUCCACUUGACAUCUUUGCUGAAAAAGAAAGUUGGAUCUGCUGAAUUAAUGAGUCUCUCACCAAUCAGUUAUGAGAGGGAAAAACAACAAGAGCCCAAACACAACGAAAUACAAUCAAAGGUUUGGCUAGCUUACCAAGCUAGUGUGCCAUAUUAUUACACUGACAUCUUAGAUAACAACCAAGUCUCUUGUACUAUUAUGUGACCACAUGUAUGAAUUUUGUCAAUGGCUAAAACAUAAGUAGACUUUCUUAGAUGCUGUAACAUAGAUUCUACAUACAAUUCAUGCCAUUGAAUUUAAUUCAAAAAUCACAAGUAAAGCACUAUGUGUAAGAAGUGUGGAAUGACUUUCUAAGGUCUAUCUCUUUAAUAGAAGAGAAAAUUUUUGU